rnacentral:rRNA from 1 species
ACCCUGUUGAGCUUGACUCUAGUCUGGCGCUGCGGGACGACUUAGGAGGUGUAGCAUAGGUGGGAGCUGCGGCGAUACUGAAAUACCACUACUCUCAAGCUCGUUUUGCUCACCUCGAGAACGUGUUUGUCGACGCUACGGCUUCUCGUGCCCUAGCUUUAUCCACGCCACGUGUUAUAUUCACUAACAAUCCCUGUUCUCCACAGAGACAGGUUUACGGAUUGCGGAAACACAAACGAGGGACACCACUAGAUGGGGAGUUCGGCUGGGGCGGUACGUCCGCUAAAAGAUAACGCGGAUGUCCUAAGAUCAGCUCAACGAGGACAGAAACCUCGUGUAGCGUAUAAGGGUACAAGCUGAUUUGAUUUCGUUUCUCAGUGGGAUUUCGAACUGCGAAAGCAUGGCCUAUCGAUCCUCUAGUUCUUCUGGAUGUGAAGCUAGAGGUGUCAGAAAAGUUA